CAGCCGCCGCGGUAAUGCGAAGGGUGCAAGCGUUAAUCGGAAUUACUGGGCGUAAAGCGUGCGUAGGCGGUGAGUUAAGUCUGCUGUGAAAUCCCCGGGCUCAACCUGGGAAUGGCAGUGGAUACUGGCUCGCUAGAGUGUGUCAGAGGAUGGUGGAAUUCCCGGUGUAGCGGUGAAAUGUGUAGAGAUCGGAAGGAACAUCCGUGGCGAAGGCGACUAUCUGGGCCAACACUGACACUGAGGCACGAAAGCGUGGGGAGCAAACAGGAUUAGAUACCCGCGUAGUCCCUGUCUCUUAUAC
rnacentral:rRNA from 1 species